ACAUAUUGUAAAGUAAUGGAUUCAUAGUUGGCUCAUUCUCUAGACUUGCUAGACUUCAGUCAAGGAAAAUGUCUACAAAAUUAAUAAUUCUAGCAGUGGCAAUUAUCGCCAUGGGCGGCGUCGCUGCUAAAAAGGCCACAUGCGUCCUCCAAGUAGGAGUUACAGAAGGAAAAGGAAUAACUGGAAAGAUUACAAUUGAAGAAAAUGUGUGAUUUUUUUCUCUAAUUAGUAAUUAUAAAGCAAUUAAAGGGAAAUAAUUGAAAAUUACUUAUUGAUUGAAAAUUUCUUGAAUAUUUGCUAAUUUUAUCAUUUCUAUAAAACUCCAUCCGAACUAUGUAGUAUAAAUAGUAUCGCUUGCGAGAAAAUUAAAGCUCAUUUGCCUCCUUCCCAUUCAGCCUCUAAAGCAAAUCGGUUCUUUUGAAAAAGUUUUGUAAUAGCUGUUGCUAAGGCAAAUCAAUACUACAUAUCGAUUUUUUUUUAAUAUGUUCUAAUAUUUUAGACAAAUGUAUACAAUUUAACGAAAUUUGGAAGGAAAAAUAGUUCAUUAUUAAAAGGAAAAGAAACUUUUACGUUAUUUUAGAAAUAUACAUUUAAAAGCACGUCAUAUGCAAACGACAAAAACGGGAAAGAGAACUUCCAGAAUGAGAGGCAUUUGUACUUUUAUGACAUACAAAACUGAAAAACGGGGAUUGUAUACUUAAAAGAAGACAUUCAUUGGAUCGUUUUGAUCUUUUCCAUAUUCUAGUUCAUCGCAAACUUCCAAGCAAAUAUAUAAUGAUAUCUUAUUGACCACUCAUUUCAUACAUUAGUAUUUUUGCAUCACUUCUUCAAUAUUACUCUGAUUGCUAUAACCAACGCUUAUGUCUGAGAAUACUGUAAUUUUAUCUAAUUUUAUGCCAAAUUUACGUUAAAGAGAUUGUAAAUCUUAAUUUACUUUAACUUUAAUCAUUUGAUAUUUAUACAUUUAAUAUACAGUAUACAAAGAGAAUAUAAAAUAGCUUUAAUAUGAAUUUUGCAGAGCGAAAGUGGAACUACAAAGUUUAUGAUAGAUAUUAAGGGAGUGAAUACUACCAAUGGAAGCUCUUUGAAAGGUUUUCAUGUUCAUCAAUAUGGUAAACUGUCAGAAGAAUGUUCUGCUGCUGGUGGUCAUUUCAAUCCCUUUAAUAAAAAUCAUGGUAGUCCUAACGACACAAAUAGACAUGUUGGAGAUUUGGGCAAUGUUAUUGUCGAAACUGAUGGUACAAUACAUCAAACUAUCUCUGAUCAAAUAGCUAAGCUCACUGGAGAAAAUAACAUAAUGGGAAAAUCAAUUGUGCUGCAUCAGGACAAGGACGAUCUAACGUCUCAGCCAACAGGUGCCGCAGGAAAGAGAUUAGCAUGCUGUCUCAUAGUGGAAAGUGACAUAGGAAAUGCGUAUAGAAUUAAACCAUCUGUAUUUCUUAGCUUACUGUUGACAAUUUCCAUGUACAUAUUCUUAUACAAAUAGUUUUAAUUUGUCCGGAUCGGUUAAGCACGUACACACACUCGUAACUAUUCUACAUCACAGUAUAUAAUAUAUACUGUCAUAUAAUCAUUUAGGUAUAACAAUUGAAGUUGAUGUUGCAAAAUCAAACCAAAAAAUCUGAUAUUCCAAAAAGGUAAUUGAAAUUAAUAAAAGACUUUUACUUUGCUAAUUAUGUUUUUUGUAUCACUGUUAACAUACUUUUGUAUUGUAUUAUAUUAAUAAUAAAAUACUAAAUGAAUAUUUAUUUA
rnacentral:misc_RNA from 1 species